rnacentral:rRNA from 1 species
GACGAACGCUGGCGGCGUGCCUAAUACAUGCAAGUCGAGCGAACAUUUGAGAGCUUGCUCUCAAAUGUUAGCGGCGGACGGGUGAGUAACACGUGGGCAACCUGCCUAUAAGACUGGGAUAACUUCGGGAAACCGGAGCUAAUACCGGAUAAUUCACAUCUACUCAUGUAGAUGUGCUGAAAGAUGGUUUACGCUGUCACUUAUAGAUGGGGCCCGCGGCGCAUUAGCUAGUUGGUGAGGUAACGGCUCACCAAGGCCACGAUGCGUAGCCGACCUGAGAGGGUGAUCGGCCACACUGGGACUGAGACACGGCCCAGACUCCUACGGGGAGCAGCAGUAGGGAAUCUUCCGCAAUGGACGAAAGUCUGACGGAGCAACGCCGCGUGAGUG